GGGAAGUGGGGGACGUGGGACGAAGGCAGUGUGCCCACGUCAACAAGUGCCAGGGAUGGGAGAAUGUGGUGUAAUGAAGGAAGGACUGGGACUAGCAGAAAUCCGCGGCUAACGGCUAAAUCCCUCUGAAAACAAUUAAAGUGCUGCCGUUCCCUUAGCAAACCGCCUGGGCUUCUGAAGCGUCCUGUUGUUCACUUUGUUAUGGUCGCCUCCACUUUUUUUUUGGAGAGGGAUUGUGCUGUUGAUGUGCCGGGGGCUUGGCUGUGCUGAUCGGAUCUGCGCGAUAAGCCUCCACCCUCUCUUUGUCCGCGAGCCAGGCGAGACAUGAGCAGUAAGCCCACUGGGUCAACUGAGGACAAGAUGUCUGUCCGAUACCUGAAAGGGAAGAUCAAGACUCAGCACAUGCUUGAGGGAUCAUAUAAACAACCCAUAAACACACUCGGCUUGUAUGCAGCACAUGCUGAGAUCAGAGAUGAAGAGAGAAAUCCAUAUUGACUGCUCUGCAUUGACUCAAAUCAAGAUGAGAACACACAGAGGAUUAAAGGAGAUGAGCCACUCUCUGAGCAGAGUUAUAAAGCCAAGAGCCUAUUACCAACAACCAGCACGAGGAGCAUCUCUCUGUCAGACUGCUCUGCAAACACGUGGCCUGAUGUUAUCACCUGUAGUGUUUUUCAGUAUCCCCAUGUUAGCCACUCCAUUGUCUAGGGCUAUAUAGCUAAAUAAUUAAUGGGUUGUUCCAUUUGAUUUCAAUCACUUCUUGAAUGCACCCCUUUUGAUUUGAUCAAAACUUUCCAUACAUAUUUUCCCAUGGUAGAAGUGGCCAGAAAGUAAUUUUUUGGACCGAAAUGCCAAAACAUUCAGGAGAUACAGGUGUUCAAAGUUAACCCAUUUUCCAUACCCC
rnacentral:lncRNA from 1 species